CACAAUAAAUGUUGAGAGAAAUUCUAACCAAAUUUUCAUACAGCAAGGCUUUGUUCAGAGUUAGGAUGUCAGAUGAAGCUUUCUUCUAAAAAGAUCUGUUGACUUCCACAUGCCCAAGUGCAAUGCUAAGACUGUUGUUAUAUAAAUGGAUUUGUAAAAACACCUUGUUAUGAAGGUUUCUUAAUGUUCCAGUUUAUAUUUAGCCAACAUUCAAGGGGUUUGAGUGGAAGUUUCUAUAUCGG